GUUUUACCGCAACUUGAAUCAUUCCUAUGUGUAGGAAUAAGUAUUUCUCUUGAUGCCUUCGAAUGAGUUCUUCAGAUAAUAAACUCAUCGAUUGUAGUUCUCCAUGGACUGGAGUAGCCUGUUCUACAGUCUUUACUACAUAAUCAGAUCUUAAUGCAAAAGGAUUACUAUAUAUGGCAUUAGAAGAUACGGGAGGCAUUUUCCAGUUACUUAAACUAGUAUCUAAGUCUGCUGCUAGUAAUAUUUCUUUAUUUUUUCCUUUUUUAGGUGUCGAUGAACUAGUUCUCCUAGAUCUACCAGAGAGAGAAUUGAGUAACCUUUCCAUUUUACCCUUAGAUCACUGUCAACGAUUUAUUCCAACACGCCUAACAACUGUGGUUUUCUGGCAACAGGAAACGCGACUUUGGUUUCACUAAGGCUUAAACAGGAUUGGGUUCAACCAGGCUCUGAUACCAA
rnacentral:lncRNA from 1 species